UGUGGUUUGUCAAUAUGAUGAUAACCUUCUUUGAAGCAUCGAUCGUUGAGUUUUGAUUGGGGAAGGUAAUAUGUGAAACACACAAUUCCUUCUGGUUCUUUCUUACUAGUUGAUAUUUUAUGUUUUCCCUCUGUUCUACUUGGUUAUUUUGGUUUCCCGAUUGAGGUUUUAUUCGGAGUUUGCUGUUCUUAUUUUAAUUAUAUCUGCUGCUAUUAUUGAGUUGUUAGAUCUUUGUUUGUUUGCUCUUCUAAUUCUUCUUUUAUGUCAAUGCUAAUUGUGAUACGUAAGAAUAAUCAAGGUAUGCUCUUAAAAAGAAAGACAAUUGUGAUUCUCAAUAGAAUGCAUAAGACGGAGAACUGCUCCAGAUAUAAUAAUCAGAUUUCUUCAAUUAGUGGUUCUUCAUUUUUUAAUUUCUGGCUUUGAUCAUAAGAAAAAAGAAUAUAAUUGUGAGAAUAUUUUUCUGCAGCGCGAUUUGUCAAACUAAUAACGUUCUUCACGGAGUGUGCCUUGAUGUUUGAUUUGGUGAUUUCUAGUAAAUUCUUUUUGUUUUCAAUAAUUCUCUAUCAAUCAAUUCUGAAAGCGUAUUUUGGUUGAUUUGUUAUUUCGUUUUUGGUGUUGCUGGAUAGUUAAAUCUAUGAACAUGUUAUUCCUUUUGUUUCGAUCUUGUUUUUGUAUGAUCUUUCAUGUAUUUUAUUUUGAUUAUUUUCUGUUUUCUUGAUUCUGAGGUUUGAUUUGGCUCUGGAUUUCAUCGCCGUACAUGUGGAAUUGAAAUAUGAACUUUUUUUUUUUUUUUUGCAGUAUAGUUUUGACACAUUAACAUUCUGUGUAGAGUACCAAGCCUCAGUUUUAAUUUGGUACCUAUACUGUUAUUAUAAAUUAUGUCCAUUUCAUUUCUUUUCGUUCAAUUCAUAUCAACCAGACCAGUUUUCUCGAUUACUCUUUUAUGAUUUCCACUGUUUAAGGUCAGACGAGUCUAUUGGUGUGUGUGGUAAGAGUUGGUUGUUAUAAUUGAGAAGUUGAGCCUUAGGUUUUUUUUUAGUUCUUAUCAUUAAUACUUCUUUUUUCUUACAAAUGUUUGUUCUACAUUUGGUUUUUGAUUUGUAUUCUUACAGUUCAAAAGUUUACAUGAUUCUGGAAAAAUUGGGAGAACAUGGUGGGGCUCUCUUUGUUCUGAUGAUAUGCAACAUGGUUUGCAGAAUUAUGCUACUCUUCUAUCUUUUUUCUUGGUCUUUUGUGCAUCUAUUUGUCACUGCAAAAUUUUCUGUACCUGUACCAUCUGGUGUUUCAUGGCUUGAUGUUAAUGCACGUUUUAGUUCGCUCUCUGAAGUAGAAAAAUUGGAGAUGAGUGCCCUUCUGUUUUGUACAACUAAUCUUCUUGGAACAUAUUAACAAGGACUCAUGAACCAUAAUGUCAUGCUGGCUGUUCAUAUAUUUCAUAGGCAAUAAUUUCAGCAUGCACACUCCUCGAUUCCUUUAUGAAAGCUUAGGGGGUGAGAUUAUCAACUCCAUUCAAAUUUUGGAGAUAAUUAACCAUUUUUUAGUCAUACAUUUCCUACUAAUGUUUAUUCAGGAUUGUUGUCCUCUGUGUAGAAUCCAAUGUUGAUGUUUUGGUGUAUGCACAGUUUUUCUGGUUUAGCAUACAUGGGUGGUGUAUCUUUGGGUGACAACUCGGCUGGGAAGAGAUAAUAUUCUGUUAAUGUUUUGUUGUUAUUUGUGAUUUGUGGUUGGUAUAUUCCUAAAAGGAUAUUGUCUUUGUUACAGUGGCAGAAGGACUCGUCUGUAGUUGGAAGAAGCAAAAAUUGUGUCAUUUCAUACAAAUACAUCAUCUUGCAAAUUGGAUGGAAAUUUGUUCCUAUGAUUCCUCGUCUAUUGCCGGCUGUUUUGUAUACUUUCUACUGCUGCUAGACUUUAUAUUUGGUCAGCUCUACGAACCAUCUUCACAUUUCAUUCUUUGUUUGAUACUUAACUUAUACUUUUUUCAGUUCCUUUGAGGUUUCUGUGUGUGGAAGUUACAGUUGAGAUAGCCUAUGAUUGUGUGGUUCGCUAUGGAAACCGUGGCAUGAAAAAGUUCAGUUCACAUACGCUUCGCAAGAUUAUGUAGUGUUGAAGCAUACAAGAUUCUAGAACCUUUGCCUUCCCCGAGGAUGUGGAAUUCAGGAUAACUUGGUUUGGCACUUUUUUGUACUGUCGAUUUGCCAUUCCUUUUGUUAUCUUUUUUUUCUCUAUAUUAUUGUCUAUUGGGAUAUAUAAGAAUAAGAGUAAGGACAAAAAUAAUAUCAUUCCACAAGUUGUACAAGAUCUUUGGUGUAGGGGUGCUGUCAAAUUUUGUAUAGGAGGACUAGAAUCUACAAUUGACUGUCAUAUUGUCAAAGUUGUUGUUCUUUCAUUUGGUUGACUCUACUUUUGAUUGAAUUGUUCACGUUUUUGUCUGUUGAUCAUCUUGUGUGGGUAUCAAGAGGAGGAUGUAGAGUGAAAGCCAUGGCAGAGAUUAUCAAAAAGAGAGCCUAUGAAUGUAUCAUUCGAUGUGAAAGCUGUUGCGGACAUUUUAAGGACAUGCUUUAAGCCUAAUUUUGCAUCGGAGCUCUGGAAUCUACAAUUGGUUGUGUCCUAUAUCAUUGGAUGUGAAAGCUGUUGCAGACAUUUUAAGGACAUGCUUUAAGCCUAAUUUUGCAUAGGAGCUCUAGAAUCUACAAUUGGUUGUGUCCUAUAUUGUAGGGAUCUGAAGUCUGAGUACAAAGGAUUAGAACGGAGAAUGUAUCUAGAUAGAGAAAUCAAGUUUCUUCAAUGAGUCGUUCAUCAAUUUUUAAUUUUAUUUUCUUGCUUUUAACAGAUAAGUGUGUUCUAAUGUUUGUUCUUGUUUUGUGUUCUACUCGUUUGUGAUGAAAUCUAUUUCUUGAUUCCAAUUUUUUCUAGCCUGAUCGCUCCUAUUAAAAUAGAUCGUUAUGAAUUUGCAUACUGAUACGUUUCUUCUCAAAUAGUUGAUAUCAAGAAUUUCACAAUUCUCUUGACUCCUCUUAUACAAAUCGGUUAUCAAGAAUUAUUUAUAUAACUUUUUGGAUAUAAUUCUUCAUCAUUUGAUUGAAAAUCAAGAUAUGCGUUUAUCCGUUUUGCAGCAUUAUGAAGUCUGAGUACAAAGGAUUAGAACGGAUAACAUAUCCAGAUAGACAAAUCAAGUUUCUUCAAUGAGUCGUUCUUUUAUUUUUAUUUUUAUUGUUAUUUUCUUUCUUUGAUUGCAAGACAUACGAAUUACGAACCUGUUUUUCCGCAGCAUGAUUUGUUGAAAUAAUACCGUUCUUCAUAGCAAAGAAUAAAUGGAUGCUCGAGUUUUGUUUGGUGAUCUCUAGUUAAAAAAGAAAUUCAUUUCAAUCUUUAUUUUUAGAUUCUGAGAGCAUAUUUUCUGUAAGUAAAAUAUUUCUGUUUUCAUUCUUGAUUUUGUUCAUCUUUGGUGUUGCAGGAGAGGUAAUCUGUUCACACAAUUCCUUCUUGGUUCUAUCUUCCGCUUCUUUGAUCUUGAUGUUUUGUAUUCUUAUUCUCUUAUCCUUUAUCAUAUAGGUUCUUGAUUUUGUUCUUGCUAAUUUCUUUCAUUGAGUUUGUUGUUCUUAUUUGCAUGAUCUGCUGCUAUUUGUGAGUUGUUGGGAGUUCUGAUGCGAGUUUUCUGUUUUUAGACGUUUUGCAAGACAUGGUCAUCAUCCAUCGCCCCUGGUUGAAUUUACUGAAUUUAAUUUCUUCAUUGAAUUGUGUUAUUUUCCUAUUAUGGCUUUGAAUGUUUUGAUCUCCAUACAUGUGAAUUGAAAGACGAACCUGUUUUCUGCAAGGUAGGGUGUUUUGAAGUAAAAUAACACUUUGUGUAGUAUCAAGCCUCAGGUUUACUUUUGUACACUCUUUUUGGAUUGUGAAUUAUUUUCAUUUCAUCUGUGGAGUUUUUAUUGCUAGUGUUCUUGAUUUACUCCUUUAUGAUUUCCACUUGUGAAAGUUUCGGCUUGGGAUUGGUGGUUUAGAAGAGAUUGGGACAGUUUGGUGAGCCUAUCUAAUUGGCGACUUGGUUUGGAGAAUUAUGCUGUUUGUCACCAACUAUUUGUCACAGCGUAAUCUUUCUGUUUAUGUAUCGUCUGAUACUCACAAGGUAAGUGUUACAUGGGUUUGUUGUAACCACAAAAGUCUCUUGUUUUCAAUUUGGUGAUCGCUACUCAGAAGUUUGCUUCUGACUUUUGUUGUCUAGUCAGUAGUCAUUCAAUUUGGAAUAUAAUUAGUUAUUCUUUUAACUUUUGAGUAUAUGAAUUUGUUCUGGACUAUCAUACAAUGUUCUGGAAUAACUCUUUGCCCUUCCUAAGAUGAGGGAUUUUUGACAACUUGGUUACGUCAUAUGUGCUGCUUGUUCUGAUUAUCUGUUUGCUGGGGACAACUUUGUUGGGAGAGGUUUAUGUUAUUGUCUUUUGCUCAUUAGUUGUUCUUGUGUUUAUUUGUGAUUUACGAUGAUAGUCUUAAAAAGAUAUCGUCUUUGUUACAGUGGCCCAAGGACUCAUCUGUAGUAAGAAGAAGCCAAAAUUAUCAUUUCAUAUGGAGUACAUGAUCUUGCAAGUUGGAUGGAAAUUUGCUCCAAUGAUUCAUAAUCUCUUGCAAGCUGUGUCUUAUACUUUUAGCUGUUGCUAGGUUUUAAUUCGGCCAUCUCUACUAAGAAACUUUACAUUUCAUUAUUGUUGAUACUCAGCAUAACUUUUGUCAGUUCCUUUGAGUUUUCUGUGUGGAAGUUACAGGGGAGAUAGCCUAUGAUUGUGUAGUUUGCUGUGGAACUCGUGGCAGGAAGAGGUUCAGUUCUCACACACCCUUAGGAUAAAAACGGUCAUUUUGUAGUUACAUAUCUAAUAUCCUAUUGUUUGGGAUAUUUGUCGUUUGAUGGAGUGCCCUGCUGGUUUUGGAUUUUCUGUGUUGCUGUUUCAGCAAGAUUCUAGAGUGUUGAAGCAUACAAGAUUCUAGAGUAUACCUUUUCCCUCAUCGAGGAUGUGGAAUUAAGGAUAACUUGGUUUGUCAUUUUUUUGUUCUGUUCAUUUGCCACUUCCUUUGUUAUAUUUGUUUCUAUUUUCUUGUCAAUUGUGAUACUUAGGAGUAAGGUUAAGAUAAUAGUAUUAUCUCUAGUUGUACAUGAAUUCCUUCUGGUAUAGGGGUAAAGUCUAAUUUUGCAUUGGAGCACUGGAAUCUACAAUUGGUACAUGAACUCCUUCUGGUAUAGGCGUAAAGCCUAAUUUUGCAUGGGAGCUCUGGAAUCCAAAAUUGAUUGUGUACUAUAUUCUCACGAUUGUUGUUCUUUCAUUUGGUGAUCUCUACUUUGACUAUGGGGAUGGAUGUAGACAGUGAAAGCCAUGACAGAGAUUAUCAAGGACGUCGUGUGGAAGCUGUGUGGACAUAAUGAAGGACAUCCCUUUGGAUUUAGUGGGUCAAUUUUCUCCUUGAAUGUGUUUAUUUUGGAAUUCUAGAAUGGGGUACCGUAUGAUAUUGUAAUGUGGCAAUGUUGAUGUUUGUGUUUUUUUACUGACAGUUGUAAGAGAGGUUCUGAAUGUACAUCUUCUUCAAGGAUAAAUUAAGACAUGCAUUUAUGUGUUUUGCAGUGAGUUAAAGUAUAGAUAUCUAUUACGUCGAGGCUUGUUGGAUGGAUAAGAAAGGGAAAGCCUUAGAUAAAUCAAAUUUCUUCACUGAGUCAUUAUUAUUGUUAUGUCUGGAUGUUGAUCGGUAGACAUACAAUUGAAUUGUGAACUUAUUUCUGCAGUGUGGUUUGUCAAUAUGAUAACCUUCUUCGAAGCAUUGAGUCUUCAAUUUUGAUUGGGUGAUCUCUAGUAUUAUGUUUUUGUUUCAAUAUUUCCUUAUCAAUUCUGAGAGCAUUUAUUUCUAAUUGUUAUUCCCCUUUUGAUUUUGCAGGGGAGGUAAUAUGUGAAACACGCAAUUCCUUCUGGUUCUGUCUUACUGGUUGAUAUUUUCUAUUCUCACUCUUUUCUCCUGGGUUAUUUUGGUUUGCCGAGGUUUUAUUCUGAGUUUUCUGAUCUUAUUUUAAUUAUAUCUGUGGCUAUUAUUGAGUUGUUAGAGUUUUGUUUGUUUGCUCUUCUAAUUCUUCUUUUACGUCAAUGUCAAUUGUAAUACGUAAGGAUAAUCAAGGUAUGCUCUUAAAAAGGAAGGCAAUUGUGAUUCUCAAUACAAUGGAUAAGAUGGAGAACUGCUCCAGAUAUAAUAAUCAAAUUUCUUCAAUUAGUCGUUCUUCAUUUUUUAAUUUCUCGCUUUGAUGAGAAGAAAAAUAAUAUAAUUGUGAAGAUAUUUUUCUGCAGCGCGAUUUGUCAAACUAAUAACGUUCUACAGAGUGUGCCUUGAUGUUUGAUUUGGUGAUCUCUAGUAAAUUCUUUUUGUUUUCAAUAAUUCUCUAUCAAUCAAUUUUGAAAGCGUAUUUUGGUUGAUUUGUUAUUUCCUUUUUGGUGUUGCUGGAUAGUUAAAUCUAUAACAUGUUGUUCCUUUUGUUUCUAUCUUGCUUUUGUAUGAUCUUUCACGUAUUGUAUCUUGAUUAUUUUCUGUUUUCUUGAUUCUAAAGUUUGAUUUGGCUCUGGCUUUCAUCGCCUUACAUGUGGAAUUGAAAUAUGAACAUUUUUUUCGCAGUAUAGUUUGUUUCGACACAUUAACAUUCUGUGUAGAGUACCAGGCCUCAGUUUUAAUUUGGUACCCUAUAAUAUUAUAAAUCAUGUCCAUUUCAUUUCUUCUCUUUCAAUUCCUAUCGACCAGACCAGUUUUCUCGAUUUCCACUGAUUAAGGUAAGAUGAUUGGUGUGUGGUAAGAGUUGGUGGUUAUAAUUAAAAAGUUUAGCCUUAGGGGUUUUCUUAGUCCUUAGCAUUAUUACUUCUUUUUUCUUUCAAAUGUUUGUUCUACAUUUGGGUUUUUGAUUUAUAUUCUUACAGUGCAAGAGUUUACAUGAUUCUGGAAAAAUUGGGAGAACAUGCUGGGGAUCUCUUUGUUUUGAUGAUAUGCAACAUGGUUUGCAGAAUUAUGCUGCUCUUCUAUCUUUUUUCUUGGUUUUUUGUGCAUCUGUUUGUCACUGCAUAAUUUUUUGUAGCUGUAUCAUCUGGUGUUUCAUGGCAUGAUGUGAAUGCACCUUUUAGUUUGCUCUCAGAAGUAGGGAAAUUGGAGAUGAGUGCCCUUCUGCCUUGUACAACUAAUCUUUUGUGAACGAAUUAACAAGGACACAUGAACCAUAAUGUUCUGCUGGUGUUUCAUAUAUUUCAUAGGCAUUAAUUUCAGCUUCCACACUCCUCGACUGCUUUAUGAAAGGUUAGGGGGUGAGAAUAUCAACCCCAUUCAAAUUUUGGAGAUAAUUGACCAUUUUUUAGUCAUAUAUUUCCUACUAAUGUUUGUUCUGGAUUGUUGUCCUCUUACUGUGUACGUCCAAUGUUGAAGUUUUGGUGUCCUCUGGAGUAAAACUUUCGUUCCCAUUAUGACCAAUUUCGGAUAACAUGGUUAGGUGGUGUAUCUUUUGGGGACAACUUGGCUGGGAUGAGAUAAUAUUCUUUUACUGUUCUGUUGUUAUUUGUGAUUUGUGGUUGGUAUACUCCCAAAAAGAUAUCAGCUUUGUUACAGUGGCCAAAGGACUCGUCUGUAGUAAGAAGAAGCAAAAAUUGUGUCAUUUCAUAGAAACAUAGUCAUGCAAAUUGGAUGGAAAUUUGUUCCUAUGAUUCAUCGUCUUUUGCAGGAUGUUUCGUAUACUUUCUACUGCUGAUAGACUUCAUAUUUGGUCAGCUCUACAAACAAUCUUCACAUUUCAUUCUUUGUUUGAUACUCAACAUAAACUUUUGUCAGUUCCUUUGAGGUUUCUGUGUGGAAGUUACAGUUGAGAUAGCUUAUGAUUCUGUGGUUUGCUAUGGAAACCGUGGCACGAAGAAGUUCAGUUCAUAUUACCCUUCGAUAAAAACGGUCAUUUUUUUCUUUACAAAUCUUAUUGUUUUGGGAUAUUUCCCCUUUGAUUGUGUGGUUUGUGUUGGUUUUUUUGUGUUUCUGUUUCAGCAAGAUUCUAGAGUGUACCUUUGCUCUUCCUGAGGAUGUGGAAUUCAGGAUAACUUGGUUUGGCACUUUUUUGUUCUGUGGAUUUUCCAUUCGUUUUGUUAUAUAAUUUUUUUUCUAUAUUAUUGUCAAUUGUGAUAUAUAAAAAUAAGAAUAAGGACAUAAAUAAUAAUAUCAUCCUUCUAGUUGUACAAGAACUUUGGUGUAGGGGUGAGGUCAAAUUUUGUAUAGGAGGACUAGAAUCUAAAAUUGGCUGUGUCAUAUUGUGAAAGUCUUGUGCGGGUAGCACGAGGAGGAUGUAGAGUGAAAGCCAUGGAAGAGAUUAUCAAAAAGAAAGCUUAUGAAUGUACCAUAGGACGUGAAAGCUGUUGCAGACAUUUUAAGGACAUGCGCCUUUGGAUUUAGUGGGUGAUUUUUCUCCUUGAAUUUAUUAAUUCUGGAAUGGGUAUCCUGAUAUUGUAAUUUGCCAAUAUUGAUUAUUGUGUUUUUUAUUACAAGUUUAAGGAGGGCUUCAGUAUUUAUGAUUCUAAAGUACAUGUACAAUUCUUUCAAAGAUAAUUUGAGACUUGUGUUCAUCUGUUUUACAGAAAGAGUUGAAGUUUGGACAUCUAGAGCCUUUUUUGAUACUUGAUGUAUGGAUUAAUUACAGAUUUUGAUCGUAAGACACACUAAUGAAUCGUGAACUUAAUUUUCUGCAGCUUGGUGUAUGAAAAUGAUAAUCAUAGCAUUGAGCCUUCAGUUUUGAUUUUUCUGAUCUCUACUAUAUUCUUUUUGUUUCAGUAUUUCCUUAUCGAUUCUGAGAGAAUUUAUUUCUAAUUGUUAUUUCCCCUUUUGGUGUUGCCGGAGAAGUAAUAUGUGAAAUGCACAAUUCCUUCUGAUUCUAUCUUAUUGAUCUUUAUUAUUCUCACUCUUCUCUCUUUGGUUAUUUUCGUUUCCUGAUUGAGGUUUUAUUUGGAGGUUUGAUGUUCUUGCUGGUUUUGAGCUUGAAGUUUGCUGGUUUCUUCGUUUGAUUAUUUAGAUAGUUGUUGGAUAUAAUUAUGCAUUUGAAAAUUGAAAGAUAAUUGAGAUGUGUGUUUGUUUAUCAGUUAUGCAGCUAGCUGAUUCCUUGAUAUCUACAAUUUUGUGAUUCUCAAUACUGCGGUUAAGACGGAAAUUGGCUCCAGAUAGAAAAUCAAACUUCUGAAAUUAGUCGCUCUUCAUUUAUUUUUAAUUUUUGGCUUUGAUCAGUAGAAAUAAGAAUAUGAUUGUGCACAUGUUUUUCUGCAGCCUGGUUUUAAUAACGUUCAUUAUGGAGUGGUCCUUAAUUUUUUAUUUGGUGAUCUCUAGUAAAUGCUUUUUGUUUUCAAAAAUUCUUUAUCUAUUCUGAAAGUUUAAUUUUGUUGAUUUGUUAUUUUCUCUUUGGUGUUGCAAGCUAGGUAAUCUAUGAACAUGUGAUUCCUUUUGGUUCUAUCUUCUUCUUGUUUUAUCUUUCAUGUUUUGUAUUUUGAUUAUUUUCUGGUUUCUUUAUUAUGAUUUUCACUAUUUCAGGUAAGAUAAGUCUAUUGGUGUGUGGUAAGAGUUGGUGGUUAUAAUUGGAAAGUUGAGCUUUAAAGGUUGUCUUACUGUUAAUACUGCUUUUUUCAUACAAAUGUUUGUUCUACGUUUGGGUUUUUGAUCUGUAAUCUGGCAUUGCAAAAGUUUACACAGUUCUAGAAAAAUUGGGAUGACUUGGUGAGGUCUGUCUUCUUUUUUCUUGGAUUUUUGUGCAUCUAUCUGUCACAACAUAUUUCUUCUGGACAUGUAUCAUUUUAGUGUUACAUGGGUUUCAUGUAAAGUAUCAUUUUCCUUCUUUCUCAAUCACACUGCACCUUUUUAGUUUGCCGUUUGAUGUAUAGAGAAAUUGAAAAUGAGUUCCUUUCUGCUUGGUACAAUAAUGUCAUGAUGGCCGUUCAUAUAUUUCCUAGGCUUUAAUUGCGGCAUCUACACUUCUCGAUUACUUUGCGAAAGAUUAGCCAGUAAGAUCAUCAACCUUUUUGUUCAAUGAGUUAUUUGUUUAUUAUAUUGAUUUCUGUGCUUUGAUCAUAAGACAUACAAAUUGAAUUCUGAACCUGUUUUUCUGCAGUGUGGCAAAGCAUAUUUUUCUUCUAGUAAAUUCUAUUCAUUUAAAUAUUUCUUUAUUGAUUUUGUCAGCCUAUUUUUCUUGAUUUUGGUUUCAUCUUUGUUGUUGCAGGUUCAAUUCCUUCUGGUUCUAUCUUUCGCAGGUUUGAUCUUCUUGUUUUGUAUUCUUAUUCUUUUCUGGUUGUUUAUUUUGGUUUCUUGAUUUUGGGGCUUGAUUUGGUUCUUGCUGGUUUCGAUCUGCGGCUAUUAUUUAGAUUUUAACGGAUUUUUCUUUUAUUAUUUUAAUGAUCUGCAGCUAUUAUUUAGAUUUUAAUUCCCUGUUCUUCCAAUUCCUCUUUCGCGUCAGUUAUUUGAAUAAUAUUCUUCGUUUGAAUAUAGUCAAUUUUAUUCUUCAUUGAAAUGCAUUAUUAUUUUCAUUUUAAUUUCUGGCUUGAUUGUCGCACAUUGAAUUGAAAUAUGGACCUGUUUUCUGCAGUGUAGUGUAUCAAGCCUCAGGUUUGUUUUUGUGCACGCUUCUGAGAUUGUGAAUUAUUUUCAUUUCAUUUCUUCUGUGGAGUUAGAUUGUCUAGUCUUCUUUAUUAUGUAACAGGUGAGAUAAGUCUGUUGAUGUGGAGUGAGGUUACAGGCUUGGGGUUUAUUUACCAGAAUACAGCUUAUAGUUUAUUUUUUACAUUUUGGUUUUAAACCUGUAAUCUGGCAGUGCGGAAGUUCAUACUAUUAUGGAGAGAUUGGGAAAGAUUUUUGAGCCUCUCUUUGUACCUAUGUAUUGCUGCUCGGCAACAUGGUUUGGAGAAUUAUGUUACUCUGUUUUUCUUGGUUUUUCCACAAAUAGUUGUCUCAACAUGUAAUUUUACUGUACAUGUAUCAUGUGGUGUUUCACAAAUCACAGAUAAGUGUAACAAGGGUUGGGUGUACCACAGAAGUCUCCUUUCUUGUCAGGCACACAGAAGUCUCCUUUCUUGUCAGGCACACUUAAUUUCACCUUCUGUAGUGGAUUACAAGAUUCUGGAUAUUUUGGGACAGCUUGGUGGCCUCUUCUAAUGAUCUGCAACUUGGUUUGCAGAAGUAUACUAUUUAUUUUCUAUCUAGGUUUUCUCCAUAUUAAUUAUCACAGCUUAAUUUCUCUGUUCAUAUUGAAUUGAAAUAUGGACCUGUUUUCUGCAGUGUAGUGUAUCAAGCCUCAGGUUUGUUUUUGUGCACGCUUCUGAGAUUGUGAAUUAUUUUCAUUUCAUUUCUUCUGUGGAGUUAGAUUGUCUAGUCUUCUUGAUUAUGUAACAGGUGAGAUAAGUCUGUUGAUGUGGAGUGAGGUUACAACUGAAAGGUUUAGGCUUAGGGUUUAUUUACCAGAAUACGGCUUAUAGUUUAUUUACAUUUUGGUUUUAAACCUGUAAUCUGGCAGUGUGGAAGUUCAUACUAUUAUGGUGAGAUUGGGAAAGAUUUUUGAGCCUCUCUUUGUACCUAUGAAUUGCUGCUCGGCAUCAUGGUUUGGAGAAUUAUGUUACUCUGUUUUUCUUGGUCUUUCCACAAAAAGUUGUCUCAACAUGUAAUUUUACUGUACAUGUAUCAUGUGGUGUUUCACAAAUCACAGAUAAGUGUAACAAGGGUUGGGUGUACCACAGAGGUCUCCUUUCUUGUCAGGCACACAGAAGUCUCCUUUCUUGUCAGGCACACUUAAUUUCACCUUCUGUAGUGGAUUACAAGAUUCUGGAUAUUUUGGGACAGCUUGGUGGCCUCUUCUAAUGAUCUGCGACUUGGUUUGCAGAAGUAUACUAUUUAUUUUCUAUCUAGGUUUUCUCCAUAUUAAUUAUCACAGCUUAAUUUCUCUGUUCAUAUAUCGUCUGUCUGAUAUAGCAAGUGCUCCAUGGGUUUGCUGUAUGCAGCGGUUCCCUUCUUUCUUAGUCACACUGCAGUUUUUUAAGGAGGAAAAAUUUACCAUAAUGUUCUUCUUGUUGUGUUAUACAUAUGAUGUGUACUUCUGAAAGACAUCCUUUUGUUACAGUGGCCCAAGGAUUCCCAUGGUGUCAGGUUAAAGCUUAAAUUAUUUUGUUUCAUAUUGAAUGCAAGAUUCGUAAAAAGGAUGGAAAUUUGUGAUGUUCUAGAAACUGUGUUGUGUAUACUUCAUACUAUUUCUAGGCUUUUAUUUGGUCAUCUGUACUAGGAUAAACUCUUCACAUUUCAGUCUUUGGUGUUCUACAAACUGUAUUAUAUACUUCCUACCUAUAGAGUAUAUGUUUUUUCGGAUGGCAAGGUCAAGAAUUCUCGACUACUUGCUUUGGUGCUGUUUUAUUAUGUUGAUUUUCCACUUCCUUUGUCACAAAUGUUUACUAUUUUUUUUUUGUCAUUUGUGAUUAUAUAGUGAUGAGGAUCUUCUCUCCCAAAUGGGUAUUGGUGACGAGGAAACUUAAAUUUUUGUCGUUUCACAUUGUGCACCAAUCUAUAAUUUGUUGUGGCAUAUAUUCUCGGUGUUGUGCUUUCAUUUUAUGAUCUCUACUCUUACUAAGAAUUUUUACGUCUCUGGCUUUGGUUGAUGAUCUAGGAUAAGGACUGCGAAAUAUGUGGCUUAGUAUUAUCAGAGAUAACUUUGGAAUGUAACGUGGGAUGUGAAAGGUCUAGGAUAUGGACUGUGAAAUCUGUUGUAGAGGGGAUGAAAGCUCUCGAAAAGAAUAAAACUUAGAGUAUCAUGACUCUAUCAGUUAGUAAAAGAAUUGUGGGUUGCAAGUGGAUGUUUACAGUGGAAACUUUGAUGGAUCAAAAAGGUAUAAAGGUUGGUUGUUAAAUAAUUUACUCAGACCUAUGGCAUAGACUGCGCAAACCGUUGCCUUUGUUGCUAAGCUUAACAUAGUUAGAGUUCACCUAUCUCUUAUUGCUAAUUUGGACUGGGUGCUCCCCCAAUUAGAUGUUAAAAAUGCAUUUCUCAAUGAUGAUUUAGAAGAAGUGUAUAUGGAUUGCCUGUAAGUUUUGAAGACAAAUUUGGGUCCCAAGUACGUAAAUUGAGGAAGUCUUUGUAUGGAUUAAAAUCGAUCUAAAAGUGUAGUUUGUAAAAUUUACUUAGUCAAUAAAGAAUCAGAGAUGUAACCGAAGACAAGUUGAUCAUACCUUAUUCACAAAGUUUAGCUCAAAUCAAAUAUACGUUGAUGAUAUUGUUCUUACUGAUGAUGAUGAUGCAAAAAUGGAGAAUAUAAAUGCAAGUUUAGCUGCAUAAUUUGAAAUUGAAGACUUCAAUCUCUUAAAAUACUUUCUUGACGUGGAAGUUACGAGAUAAAAAAGGGGAUAGUAGUCCUCAAAGAAAAUAUGUUGUAGAUCCCUUGCAAGAAACAAGUAUGAGCGGUUGUAGGUUGGCUGACACUUCUAUGUACCAAAUGCUAAAUUUUGGAGGAACGGAGACUCUCUAGUUGAUAUUGAAAAAUAUUUGAGGUUAGUUAAAAAAUUGGUAUACUUGGUUUAUACUUGUUUUGACGUUGCCUUCUCUUUUAUUGUUACUUUAUGCAUGCUCCAUGUGAAGAACAUCUCAAUGCAAUUUACAAAAUAUUGAAAUAUUUGAAGGCAACUCUUGGAAAAGGAUGGUUUUUCAAAAAGAUCAAUGAUAAAAAUAUAGAAAUUUUACUCAUGCAGACUGGAUAGGAUCUGUUAUAGAUAGGAAGUUAACUUCAGGGUAUUGCAUAUAUGUGUUGGAAAUUUGGUAAUUGGAGAAAUAGAAAACAAAGAGUGGUUGCAAGAAGGAGUGCCGAAACAUAGUUAAGGGCAAUGGCACAAGAAAUUUCCGACGUACGUGGAUUGUUUACUUGGCAUUUGUUUCUUACAAUCAAUAGACAACUGACAUAUUAACUAAAAGUUUGAUCCCAACAAAUUUUGAACAUUUGAUAAGUAAAUUGGGCAUAAUUGAUAUCUAUACACCAACUUGAGUGAGUAUUAAAAAUAUCUUGUCAUUAUUAGAACUAUUUACGUUUUUUUUAGUUUUUAUUUAUUUAUAUUUUUUAUAUCACUCUUAAAUUUAAAGAGUUGAAUAAUUGUACUUUCUUUUAUAAAAAGAGUUCUUAUUUGUUUGAAUAAUACUAAUAUUUCACUUUAAAAACUCGUGGCUGGUUGAGGUUAAUACAUGAUGUUUUUCUUACUUUUAUUCUUAAGUCGAACUCUAGGUUCCACUUUUCUUGAAUUACUAACAUGUUAAAUAUUCAAAGUCGUAUUUGUUAAAUUAUGUCAUUUCUUGAAUGAUCAGUCUGAGAGAUUUAAGUAUGCAAAUUGCAAAGCCUUUAGGUGAAGGAAACCUAUUACAGGAGUGAGUUUUUUGAUGUGUUGUUCAUCAUUUGUUAUUGGUUCUGAAUAAUCUUGUCAUUGAAUGGUUCUGCAUUACUUUUUCAGGGAGAUAAUUUGGUUCAUCAUUCAUCUACCUUUUGCACUUUUUUUAUGUAUUCUCUACAUGUUACAUGGAGUCUUUGCGUAUUUGGCGUGUUGUGGAACUUGUGACAGGUUGCGGUUUACACCAUGCUCAGCCUUUGGAUAUGUUUUCCCUUAUAUGGUAGACUAAAAAUGCUUAAGUAGUCAUGAAUCUUCAUUACAUUAUGUAGUAUAUCGAUUUUGGAGUAUUUUUCUUAGCUCUGCUGCUUUUUAAUAUUUUCAGGAAUAUGAUGAAUGUCCUCCAACACUGAAAUUAUAUUUCUUCAUCAUGGUUUUCACAAAAAAAAGUUUUAUGAAUCUGAA